rnacentral:rRNA from 1 species
UUGGAGGGCAAGUCUGGUGCCAGCAGCCGCGGUAAUUCCAGCUCCAAUAGCGUAUAUUAAAGUUGUUGCAGUUAAAAAGCUCGUAGUUGAAUUUCGGGAUCAAUUUUGUCGGUCGUGCCCUUUGGUACGUACUGGUAUUAUUGGUUUCUAUCUUCUGAAGAACCUUGAUGUCGUUAAUUUGAUGUAUUGGGAAAUCAGGACUGUUACCUUGAAAAAAUUAGAGUGUUAAAGCAGGC